rnacentral:rRNA from 1 species
UACGGAGGGUGCAAGCGUUAUCCGGAUUCACUGGGUUUAAAGGGUGCGUAGGUGGGCAGGUAAGUCAGUGGUGAAAUCUCCGGGCUUAACCCGGAAACUGCCGUUGAUACUAUCUGUCUUGAAUAUAGUGGAGGUGAGCGGAGUAUGUCAUGUAGCGGUGAAAUGCUUAGAUAUGACAUAGAACACCCAUUGCGAAGGCAGCUCGCUACACUAUCAUUGACACUGAGGCACGAAAGCGUGGGGAUCAAACAGG